AGCGUGCGCAGGCGGUUUUGUAAGUUUGUCGUGAAAUCCCCGGGCUUAACCUGGGAAUUGCGAUGAAGACUGCAAGGCUAGAAUCUGGCAGAGGGGGGUAGAAUUCCACGUGUAGCAGUGAAAUGCGUAGAGAUGUGGAGGAACACCGAUGGCGAAGGCAGCCCCCUGGGUCAAGAUUGACGCUCAUGCACGAAAGCGUGGGGAGCAAACAGGAUUAGAUACCCUGGUAGUCCACGCCCUAAACGAUGUCUACUAGUUGUCGGGUUUUAAUUAACUUGGUAACGCAGCUAACGCGUGAAGUAGACCGCCUGGGGAGUACGGUCGCAAGAUUAAAACUCAAAGGAAUUGACGGGGACCCGCACAAGCGGUGGAUGAUGUGGAUUAAUUCGAUGCAACGCGAAAAACCUUACCUACCCUUGACAUGUCAGGAACCUCGGAGAGAUCUGAGGGUGCUCGAAAGAGAGCCUGAACACAGGUGCUGCAUGGCUGUCGUCAGCCCGUGUCGUGAGAUGUUGGGUUAAGUCCCGCAACGAGCGCAACCCUUGUCAUUAGUUGCUACGCAAGAGCACUCUAAUGAGACCGCCGGUGACAAACCGGAGGAAGGUGGGGAUGACGUCAAGUCCUCAUGGCCCUUAUGGGUAGGGCUUCACACGUCAUACAAUGGUACAUACAGAGGGCCGCCAACCCGCGAGGGGGAGCUAAUCCCAGAAAGUGUAUCGUAGUCCGGAUUGUAGUCUGCAACUCGACUACAUGAAGUUGGAAUCGCUAGUAAU
rnacentral:rRNA from 1 species